rnacentral:tRNA from 1 species
GCCGACGUAGCCCAAUUGGCAGAGGCACAGGCUUUAGGUGCCUGUCAGUGCGGGUUCGAGUCCCGCCGUCGGCA